rnacentral:rRNA from 1 species
GAACUUUUCCAGAGAUGAUGGUGCCUUCGGGACCCUGAGAACAGGUGCUGCAUGGCUGCGUCAGCUCGUGUCGUGAGAUGUUGGGUUAAGUCCCGCAAUCGAGGCAACCCUUGUCUUAGUUGCCAGCAUUAAUUGGGCACUUAGGGAGACUGCCGGUGACAAACCGGAGGAAGGUGGGGAUGACGUCAAGUCAUCAUGGCCCUUAUGGGCAGGGCUACACACGUGCUACAAUGGCCGGUACAAAGGGUCGCGAACCCGCGAGGGGAAGCUAAUCUCAUAAGCCGGUCGUAGUCCGGAUUUGGAGUCUGCAACUCGACUGCAUGAAGUCGGAAUCGCUAGUAAUCGCAGAUCAGCAUGCUGCGGU